rnacentral:rRNA from 1 species
UAUGUGGUUUAAUUCGAUGCAACGCGAAGAACCUUGCCUGGUCUUGACAUCCCGGAGACCCUUAGGAAACUAGGGGUGCUUCCAUCUGGAAGAAUCUGGAGACAGGUGCUGCAUGGCUGUCGUCAGCUCGUGUCGUGAGAUGUUGGGUUAAGUCCCGCAACGAGCGCAACCCUUGCCUUUAGUUGCCAGCAGUUCGGCUGGGCACUCUAAAGGGACUGCCGGUGUUAAACCGGAGGAAGGUGGGGAUGACGUCAAGUCCUCAUGGCCUUUAUGACCAGGGCUACACACGUACUACAAUGGCCGAUACAAAGGGCAGCGACACUGCGAGGUGAAGCCAAUCCCGUAAAAUCGGUCUCAGUCCGGAUUGGAGUCUGCAACUCGACUCCAUGAAGUUGGAAUCGCUAGUAAUCGUGGAUCAGCAUGCCACGGUGAAUACGUUCCCGGGCCUU